GGUGAACGCUGGCGGCGUGCUUAAGACAUGCAAGUCGAACGGCAGUCUUCGGACUGUAGUGGCGCACGGGUGAGUAACGCGUAACUGACCUACCCCAAAGUCGCGGAUAACGAUUCGAAAGAAUCGCUAAUACGUGAUGUGCUGUCAGAUUGUGUUCUGCCAGUAAAGAUUGAUUGCUUUGGGAUGGGGUUGCGUUCCAUCAGCUAGUUGGUGGGGUAAAGGCCCACCAAGGCGACGACGGAUAGCCGGCCUGAGAGGGUGGCCGGCCACAGGGGCACUGAGACACGGGUCCAACUCCUACGAGAGGCAGCAGUUAGGAAUCUUCCACAAUGGGCGAAAGCCUGAUGGGGCGGCGCCGCGUGAGGGAUGAAGGUCUUCGGAUCGUAAACCUCUGAAUCAGGGACGAAAGACACUUCGGUGGGAUGACGGUACCUGAGUAAUAGCACCGGCUAACUCCGUGCCAGCCGCCGCCGUAAUAC
rnacentral:rRNA from 1 species